rnacentral:rRNA from 1 species
GAUGGACAACAGGUUGAUAUUCCUGUACUACCGAUAACCGUUUGAGAGAAGGGAUGACACAGUAGGAUAAGCUAAGCACACUGUUGGUUAUGUGUGCCCAAGCAUUGAGGCAGUCAAAGUAGGCAAAUCCGCUUUGAUAAUGCUGGGAUGUGAUGGGGAGCGAAAUUUAGUAGCGAAGUAGCUGAUUUCACACUGUCAAGAAAAGUCUCUAUCGAGGUUAAAGGUACCCGUACCGCAAACCGACACAGGUGGGUGAGGAGAGUAUCCUAAGGCCAGCGAGAGAACUGUUGUUAAGGAACUCGGCAAAAUGACCCCGUAACUUAGGGAUAAGGGGUGCCACCAUCAGGUGGCCGCAGAGAAUAGGCCCAAGCGACUGUUUACCAAAAACAUAGGUUUCUGCUAAGUCGCAAGACGAUGUAUAGGAGCUGACGCCUGCCCGGUGCUGGAAGGUUAAGGGGAUCUGUUAGAGCAAUCGAAGCAGUGAACUUAAGCCCCAGUAAACGGCGGCCGUAACUAUAACGGUCCUAAGGUAGCGAAAUUCCUUGUCGGGUAAGUUCCGACCCGCACGAAAGGCGUAACGAUUUGGGCACUGUCUCAACAACAGACUCGGUGAAAUUGUAAUUCCGGUGAAGAUGCCGGAUACCUGCGACAGGACGGAAAGACCCCAUGGAGCUUUACUGUAGCUUGACAUUGGGUCUUGGUACUACAUGUACAGGAUAGGUGGGAGGCUUUGAAACCAGGACGCCAGUUUUGGCGGAGCCAUCCUUGGGAUACCACCCUUGUAGUACUGGGACUCUAACCAUAGGCCAUGAAUCUGGUCUUGGGACACUGUCAGGUGGGCAGUUUGACUGGGGCGGUCGCCUCCCAAAAGGUAACGGAGGCGCUCAAAGGUUCUCUCAGUACGGUCGGAAAUCGUACGUAGAGUGUAAAGGCAAAAGAGAGCUUGAUUGCAAGACAUACAGGUCGAGCAAGGAUGAAAAUCGGACUUAGUGAUCCGGUGGUUCUGCGUGGAAGGGCCAUCGCUCAACGGAUAAAAGCUACCCUGGGGAUAACAGGCUUAUCUCCCCCAAGAGUCCACAUCGACGGGGAGGUUUGGCACCUCGAUGUCGGCUCAUCACAUCCUGGGGCUGUAGUAGGUCCCAAGGGUUGGGCUGUUCGCCCAUUAAAGUGGUACGCGAGCUGGGUUCAGAACGUCGUGAGACAGUUCGGUCCCUAUCCGUCGCAGGCGUAGGAAAUUUGAGAAGACCUGUCCUUAGUACGAGAGGACCGGGAUGGACGUACCUCUGGUGUACCAGUUGUCCUGCCAAGGGCAUGGCUGGGUAGCUAUGUACGGAAUGGAUAAGCGCUGAAAGCAUCUAAGCGCGAAGCCAACUUCAAGAUAAGAUUUCCCACCGCAAGGGUAAGACCCCAGAAAGACUAUCUGGUUGAUAGGUCGAAGGUGUAAGUGCAGCAAUGUAUUUAGCUUAUCGAUACUAAUAGGUCGAGGACUUGACCAA